rnacentral:rRNA from 1 species
GACGAACGCUGGCGGCGUGCUUAACACAUGCAAGUCGAACGGAAAGGCCCUGCUUUUGUGGGGUGCUCGAGUGGCGAACGGGUGAGUAACACGUGAGUAACCUGCCCUUGACUUUGGGAUAACUUCAGGAAACUGGGGCUAAUACCGGAUAGGAGCUCCUGCUGCAUGGUGGGGGUUGGAAAGUUUCGGCGGUUGGGGAUGGACUCGCGGCUUAUCAGCUUGUUGGUGGGGUAGUGGCUUACCAAGGCUUUGACGGGUAGCCGGCCUGAGAGGGUGACCGGCCACAUUGGGACUGAGAUACGGCCCAGACUCCUACGGGAGGCAGCAGUGGGGAAUAUUGCACAAUGGGCGGAAGCCUGAUGCAGCCACGCCGCGUGCGGGAUGACGGCCUUCGGGUUGUAAACCGCUUUCGCCUGUGACGAAGCGUGAGUGACGGUAAUGGGUAAAGGAGCACCGGCUAAAUACGUG